rnacentral:rRNA from 1 species
GACAGAGGGUGCAAACGUUGCUCGGAAUCACUGGGCGUAAAGGGCGUGUAGGCGGGCAGGAAAGUCAGAUGUGAAAUCCCUGGGCUCAACCCAGGAACUGCAUUUGAAACUCCCUUUCUUGAGUGUCGGAGAGGAAAGCGGAAUUCCUGGUGUAGAGGUGAAAUUCGUAGAUAUCAGGAGGAACACCGGUGGCGAAGGCGGCUUUCUGGACGACAACUGACGCUGAGACGCGAAAGCGUGGGGAGCAAACAGG